rnacentral:rRNA from 1 species
AGUGAACGCUGGCGGUAGGCCUAACACAUGCAAGUCGAACGGCAGCACAGGAGAGCUUGCUCUCUGGGUGGCGAGUGGCGGACGGGUGAGGAAUACAUCGGAAUCUACUCUGUCGUGGGGGAUAACGUAGGGAAACUUACGCUAAUACCGCAUACGACCUACGGGUGAAAGCAGGGGACCUUCGGGCCUUGCGCGAUUGAAUGAGCCUAUGUCGGAUUAGCUAGUUGGCGGGGGAAAGGCCCACCAAGGCGGCGAUCAGUAGCUGGUCUGAGAUGAUGAUCAGCCACACUGGAACUGAGACACGGUCCAGACUCCUACGGGAGGCAGCAGUGGGGAAUAUUGGACAAUGGGCGCAAGCCUGAUCCAGCCAUACCGCGUGGGUGAAGAAGGCCUUCGGGUUGUAAAGCCCUUUUGUUGGGAAAGAAAUCCAGCUGGCUAAUACCCGGUUGGGAUGACGGUACCCAAAGAAUAAGCACCGGCUAACUUCGUGCCAGCAGCCGCAGUAA